UAAGCAUUUCACUAAGGUUAACACCUGUUGUAUUCGGCGCAUGUGACUAAUACAAUUUGAUUUGACUAAUGAAUACGACAAGCAUCAGCAUAUAGAGCAAACCUUCAGAUUUAACUCAGUCAACAUGGUGGGAGGUGUUUAUAAUGAAAAGUAGGCUUAUUUGUUUGGGAUUCAUAGUUUUUUUCCCCGUGUUAGUUUGUCAUAUAGACUAGUGGUGGUGUGUGUAGUUUUAGGACUGUAUGCCUUCAUCUUGAAUUAUAUUUCAACCAAGGCCUAUGCUGCUGGAGUCACCCUGUAUCACAUCUGAGACCAAAACACAAAUCAUAAUACGCCCUUCAAAGAAACAGAAUACCCCUCUUCCUCUAUUUACCCCCUUCCUCUUCCUCUCCAGUUCUACACUACAUCCGACUGUGUAGCAGGCCUGUAUAAAUUCGCGAUUUCGUUUGAAAACGGCAGCAGCGUCCGUUCGGCCACUUUGAUUAAACGAGGCGACCGUCACACUGUUUAUUGUUCUCCUAAUGUAUUAUUGAAGGGCCUGGGAGAGGAAUGCUUUUAAGCUGCUUUGGCUGGCACGCCCCAGCGCAACACUUACAUUCUCAAUUAGAUGUAUUCGCUGCGUCUGGGCUCUCACCUUUUAGAAAGAGUGACACUUUUGAUAAAGAGUUCUGCGUGUCCGGAGAACCCAUUUAACCUUCGCGCGAGGCGCUGCCCUAUAUUUGAAAGGCUAACUAUUGUGACUAAGCGCAACGUCGGAGCAGGCAAAUGCAUUUUUGAGAAGUUGAACUAAUGAAUAAAUACCUGGGAUUAUUAUUAAUAGAUUCUGGCUGGACGGGGCUAGAGGAAAGGAGACCGGACGGCGUUUGUUUGAGGCUUCUCGCUCUCUCUCUUUCUCUAUUGAAAGACCGAGGUCCACACCAGAUGAAUGAUGUUGGGGAAUUUUCCAAUUUACUCUCAAACUGGGCAGAGGAAGAGCUAGACAGAUGUGAUAGAUAGAUGGAACGUGAACGGAGGGAGCUGUGUGUCAGGCAUGGGAUUAAAAAAAUUCAAGGUAGUGGGUUUCCAGGCCGGCAUACGUUGUUGUGAAAAUCAAACCCACUUCUGAAAACCAGAUCACUAAAGCCACUAUCUGCUAUGGAUUAAAUAUAGGCUGGAAUGCAUCAUACUUGAGUGGUAGCCUAGCUGAAGUUAAUAGGUGGAGUGCUGUUGGCCUGGAGUCAGUAGGUGGAGUGCUGUUGGCCUGGAGUCAGUAGGUGGAGUGCUGUUGGCCUGGAGUCAGUAGGUGGAGUGCUGUUGGUCUGGAGUCAGUAGGUGGAGUGCUGUUGGCCUGGAGUCAGUAGGUGGAGUGCUGUUGGUCUGGAGUCAGUAGGUGGAGUGCUGUUGGUCUGGAGUCAGUAGGUGGAGUGCUGUUGGCCUGGAGUCAGUAGGUGGAGUGCUGUUGGUCUGGAGUCAGUAGGUGGAGUGCUGUUGGCCUGGAGUCAGUAGGUGGAGUGCUGUUGGUCUGGAGUCAGUAGGUGGAGUGCUGUUGGUCUGGAGUCAGUAGGUGGAGUGCUGUUGGUCUGGAGUCAGUAGGUGGAGUGCUGUUGGUCUGGAGUCAGUAGGUGGAGUGCUGUUGGCUGGAGUCAGUAGGUGGAGUGCUGUUGGUCGUAGG